UGUUGACAUUAUAGUUGUGCAGGAACUUUGUUGACUCUAGAGAACCUCGGGCAAAUCGCACAUCCUCAUGGCGGCGACUUUGCAUGUUCAUCCAUAUCAACUUUCGAUGCCAGUUUCUGUGCCUACCAUGGUGACCACGGGUAACAGGGAAUCAGGGUUCCAUUCCGUACAGGGACCCUGAGAAACGGCUACCACAUGCAAAGAAGGCAGCAGGUGCGCAAAUUACCCACUCCCGACACGGAAAGGUAGUGACGACA